rnacentral:rRNA from 1 species
GACGAACGCUGGCGGCGUGCUUAACACAUGCAAGUCGAACGGUAAGGCCUUCGGGUACACGAGUGGCGAACGGGUGAGUAACACGUGGGUGAUCUGCCCUGCACUUUGGGAUAAGCCUGGGAAACUGGGUCUAAUACCGGAUAGGACCAUGGCCUGCAUGGGUUGUGGUGGAGAGCUUUUGCGGUGUGGGAUGGGCCCGCGGCCUAUCAGCUUGUUGGUGGGGUGAUGGCCUACCAAGGCGACGACGGGUAGCCGGCCUGAAAGGGUGUCCGGCCACACUGGGACUGGGAUACGGCCCAGACUCCUACGGGAGGCAGCAGUGGGGAAUAUUGCACAAUGGGGGCAAGCCUGAUGCAGCGACGCCGCGUGGGGGAUGACGGCCUUCGGGUUGUAAACCUCUUUCAAUAGGGACGAAGCGUGAGUGACGGUACCUAUAGAAGAAGCACCGGCCAACUACGUGCCAGCCGCCGCCGUAA